rnacentral:rRNA from 1 species
ACAGCAGUCGCCGCGGUAAUACGUAGGGUGCGAGCGUUAAUCGGAAUUACUGGGCGUAAAGCGUGCGCAGGCGGUUAUAUAAGACAGAUGUGAAAUCCCCGGGCUCAACCUGGGACCUGCAUUUGUGACUGUAUAGCUAGAGUACGGUAGAGGGGGAUGGAAUUCCGCGUGUAGCAGUGAAAUGCGUAGAUAUGCGGAGGAACACCGAUGGCGAAGGCAAUCCCCUGGACCUGUACUGACGCUCAUGCACGAAAGCGUGGGGAGCAAACAGGAUUAGAUACCCGCGUAGUCCCUGUCUCUUAUAA